rnacentral:lncRNA from 1 species
AUGUGGAAUCAGUGCUUACUAGGCAGCCAGACGGGCAGCAUUAAAGCUUUGGGGACGUGGGUGCUUAAGGAGAAGAAACAGCCAAAAGGAAAUGAAGGAGCAUUAAACAGCAACCCAGCCAUGUCACGUGACUCACACUCCUCCUGCGCCAGAGCCCAGUGUGAGCCCCUGUCUGACAGUCAGUCACAGAGGACCCAGCAGCAAGGCAUGAUUAUCAACAGAAAUCAGCUUAGCAAAAUGCAGCUGUAA